rnacentral:rRNA from 1 species
UACAGAGGUGCCAAGCGUUAGGCGGAAUCACUGGGCUUAAAGCGCGCGUAGGCGGAUGUUUAAGUGUCUUGUGAAAUCCCCGGGCUCAACCCGGGAACUGCGUCCGAUACUGGUGGGCUUGAAUCCGGGAGAGGGAUGCGGAAUUCCAGGUGUAGCGGUGAAAUGCGUAGAUAUCUGGAGGAACACCGGUGGCGAAGGCGGCAUCCUGGACCGGUAUUGACGCUGAGGCGCGAAAGCCAGGGGAGCAAACGGG